CGAGCCUGGGCCUGCAGCGCGGCGGCGGAGAGAACGGAGAGGACAGCUGGCGGGUGGUUAUCUGGAGUGGUUUGGGGCCGCGGCGGCGUUCUGGCCAGUGGGCCUUGGUGGGCUAGGAAGAGAGGCAGAAAAAGGUUACCCAGGAAACGGGCUUCGACGCCGGGCGAGGAGUGGCACGUUCGAAACCCCCUCCCUAACUCA
rnacentral:lncRNA from 1 species